rnacentral:lncRNA from 1 species
CUAAUCUUCAAAACAUAGGAAAGCUUCCAUCAUUUAACCACUUGAUGGUGCCAAAGUAAUGUGAUAGUUACAAAAUAUUACUAAAGAAAAACAGAACACUCUGCACAACAUCCUUAGAUCAAAAUUUGAAACUUUUAAAUGGUGCACAAUUAUAAUCACACAAAACUCCCAAUUUCAAUAAACUCCAAAAAUAUUAUGACACAUUAAUACAAACAUGAUCAGUCCCAUAAGAUAACUAUAUUAUCAUACUCGAAAUCAAAUAGACAUGAAAAGAUGAGAUUUUUUAUAAAUUAUUCAUUGUUGAAAUAGUUCCAUAGAAAAAUAAGUAUUCAAAUUAUUGAUAAAAUUCCACACUAUAAAGCUCAGAACGCACAAAAUACUACUCCUAAAAGGAAAGAAAACAAUAAAAAUAACAAGGACUCAAAAAUAUAAUAAAAAAUAAAAUAAGUGAGUUAUUUUCCUUUUGGGGGGCAGCAAAUUGAAAUUAUGAGAUCUUCGUCAAAAUUUCUCAACCAUCGGGGAAUUUGAACCAGAUUCUUUUGCCAAAAAAUCCUAAGCCAGAUGGUCUUAUAGGUAUUUAAAUAAAUCCCUUUCAAUUGGACUUCUUUGUUGUUAAUUAGCCCUUUUUGCGUGUCAAGAUCUUUCAUGUUCCUACCUUUGGCCUCUUAUUCGAUGAAAACUGUAGAGGUAUACAUAGGAAAAUUUAGAAAUCAAUCUUUUAGGCUUGGUUGAUGAGAUUUGGGGGAUUCAGGGGAAAUUUAGAGAUUUCUAAGGGGAAAUUUCAAAUUUUGAAGAUGGAUAAGAUUGUGAGGUGGAUUUGGUAAGAAUUUGUACCCCGUCCUUUGAAUCACGAAAUCUGAUCCACUUAGGUGUUUCUAAAACAUUAUGGGUGAUCUAUAUGUGAGAAUUUUGUGUUAUUGAGAGGGAAAGGGAUAAAUGAAGGUGGGAAAAGGGUAUUGGGUCAAUUCUCAUCCGUGUUGUACUCUAGUUUAAUCAUUGUUUGUUUGUUAUUACUAUUUACUAAUGGCAUUGCUGAUAUUUUGGAUGGUAUAGUCAAGUUUAGGGAUGGAGAAGAUUGGUUAAGGUAUUAAAGAGUGGUUGGACCAAGUUAGCAGGUUCGAAGUGGGCUGGGGCGGGUUAGUCCAUUAGGAAUGGGUAGAUUUAUUAGGUAAAGCAGUAAGGGUAGCUUAGGCUAUUUAAGAGAUAGUAUAAAUAGGUUAAGAGUUAGUCAGUUUA